rnacentral:rRNA from 1 species
AGAGUUUGAUCCUGGCUCAGGAUGAACGCUGGCGGCGUGCCUAAUACAUGCAAGUCGAGCGAACAGAUAAGGAGCUUGCUCCUUUGACGUUAGCGGCGGACGGGUGAGUAACACGUGGGUAACCUACCUAUAAGACUGGAACAACUCCGGGAAACCGGGGCUAAUGCCGGAUAACAUUUAGAACCGCAUGGUUCUAAAGUGAAAGAUGGUUUUGCUAUCACUUAUAGAUGGACCCGCGCCGUAUUAGCUAGUUGGUAAGGUAAUGGCUUACCAAGGCAACGAUACGUAGCCGACCUGAGAGGGUGAUCGGCCACACUGGAACUGAGACACGGUCCAGACUCCUACGGGAGGCAGCAGUAGGGAAUCCUCCGCAAUGGGCGAAAGCCUGACGGAGCAACGCCGCGUGAGUGAUGAAGGGUUUCGGCUCGUAAAACUCUGUUAUUAGGGAAGAACAAACGUGUAAGUAACUGUGCACGUCUUGACGGUACCUAAUCAGAAAGCCACGGCUAACUACGUGCCAGCAGCCGCGGUAAUACGUAGGUGGCAAGCGUUAUCCGGA